GAACGCUGGCGGCGUGCCUAAUACAUGCAAGUAGAACGCUGAGGACUGGUGCUUGCACUGGUCUAAGGAGUUGCGAACGGGUGAGUAACGCGUAGGUAACCUACCUCAUAGCGGGGGAUAACUAUUGGAAACGAUAGCUAAUACCGCAUGACAAUAGGGUACACAUGUACCCUAUUUAAAAGGGGCAAAUGCUUCACUAUGAGAUGGACCUACGUUGUAUUAGCUAGUUGGUAAGGUAACGGCUUACCAAGGCGACGAUACAUAGCCGACCUGAGAGGGUGAUCGGCCACACUGGGACUGAGACACGGCCCAGACUCCUACGGGAGGCAGCAGUAGGGAAUCUUCGGCAAUGGGGGGAACCCUGACCGAGCAACGCCGCGUGAGUGAAGAAGGUUUUCGGAUCGUAAAGCUCUGUUGUUAGAGAAGAACGGUAAUGGGAGUGGAAAAUCCAUUACGUGACGGUAACUAACCAGAAAGGGACGGCUAACUACGUGCCAGCAGCCGCGGUAAUACGUAGGUCCCGAGCGUUGUCCGGAUUUAUUGGGCGUAAAGCGAGCGCAGGCGGUUUGAUAAGUCUGAAGUUAAAGGCUGUGGCUUAACCAUAGUACGCUUUGGAAACUGUCAAACUUGAGUGCAGAAGGGGAGAGUGGAAUUCCAUGUGUAGCGGUGAAAUGCGUAGAUAU
rnacentral:rRNA from 1 species